AGGACGAACGCUGGCGGCGUGCUUAACACAUGCAAGUCGAGCGGAAAGGCCCUUCGGGGUACUCGAGCGGCGAACGGGUGAGUAACACGUGAGCAACCUGCCCUCAGCUCUGGGAUAGCUCCCGGAAACGGGAAUUAAUACCGGAUAUGACCCUGACCGACAUCUGUCAGGGUGGAAAGGUUUACCGGCUGAGGAUGGACUCGCGGCCUAUCAGCUAGUUGGUGGGGUAACGGCCUACCAAGGCGACGACGGGUA
rnacentral:rRNA from 1 species